rnacentral:rRNA from 1 species
CUCUGGAUUGUAAACUUCUUUUAUCUGGGACGAAAACGGGAUUUUUAUCUCAAUUGACGGUACCAGAGGAAUAAGCACCGGCUAACUCCGUGCCAGCAGCCGCGGUAAUACGGAGGGUGCGAGCGUUAUCCGGAUUUACUGGGUUUAAAGGGUGCGUAGGUGGGCUUAUAAGUCAGUGGUGAAAUCUCCGAGCUUAACUUGGAAACUGCCUUUGAUACUAUAGUUCUAGAAUUAACUGGAGGUAAGCGGAAUAUGUCACGGAGCGGUGAAGUGCCUAGAUAUUACAUAGAACACCGAUUUCGCAGGCUGCUUACUACAUAUAAA